rnacentral:rRNA from 1 species
UACGUAGGGUGCGAGCGUUAAUCGGAAUUACUGGGCGUAAAGUGUGCGCAGGCGGCCGCGCAAGUCGAGUGUGAAAGCCCCCGAGCUUAACUUGGGAAUUGCGCUCGAAACUACGUGGCUGGAGUGUGGCAGAGGAAGGUGGAAUUCCACGUGUAGCGGUGAAAUGCGUAGAGAUGUGGAGGAACACCGAUGGCGAAGGCAGCCUUCUGGGCCAACACUGACGCUCAUGCACGAAAGCGUGGGGAGCAAACAGG